rnacentral:lncRNA from 1 species
UUUGAUAUCCGUACAAGUAUAUAUCAAUUCAAUGAUAAGACUUGACAAAGUUUUACAACUUCCAUAAACUAGUACUUAACAAAAUGAUUACACAGCGGGGUCCAAAUCCAAGUAAUUUCCGAAGUCAAACCAACCGAUGCUUGAUAAAUGCAUUUGCACACUUAGUCUAGACAGACAAAUACAACACAUUCCAUAACCAAACUGUCCAAACUCACAAAAGAGAUCAUUUGAGGCAACCUAACAUUUUGGUUCAGCAUUCCACUCAACCAACUCAUAAUUUCCGUAUCUUUCAGGAAACUGCAUCCCAAUGUUACCAACAGCACCGAAUGAUUCUCUACUCCGCAUUACAAGAGGUCAAAGAAGCUUCAGAUCAGCGAUGGAGAAAACUGAUGGGAAAAUAUUUAAUGGAAACCUUGAAUAUGCAAAUAUUUGGUAUCAAAAUUGUGGAAUCACAACUAACUGUGAUAGCAGAAUAAUAAUAGGCUGAUGUAGCUGUAAAGAAUCAAAUGUAACACAGUAAUCACCGGCUUUGGAAGCAAAAAGUUCAAUCAGCAUCUCCUCUGUAGUCAAGUUGAAUGAAAACUUACUGUUACAUAACCUCAGACUGAAGUCAGACAGGGUAUUUCAAACAACUUUAACCAGAUAAGGGAAGUGAUCAGAGUACAAGAAUACAGUUCCCUGCCAAAUUAACUCUGCCAGGUCCUUAAAGUUGGGCUUCAUCUCAGAAUUGUUUUGUGCUAUUGUCAACCCAAUAUGAAUUUCACCCAAUAAUGAUACAUGAGUAAGCAACAUCAUCAGAGGGAAUGUAUGCCAAUUACUUCCGUCCAUUUUAAAAUAACAUAUGAACCUCUGCCAAGCCUUUAAAUAGGUGGGAGGCAUCUCUCUAUAUCAUAAUUCAAGCAAAACCAUAAAGUAAAAAAGAAGGCAACUAAUCAACAAAUAAAUGUUAAAACUUUUACCCAUUGCUAUUGUUUGUGUGUCUGUUAGGGGCUUAUUGACAAAGAACAACACCUUCC